rnacentral:lncRNA from 1 species
AUGAUCCAAACGGUUAAAGAUUAAAAAUAAUAGUAUUAACAAAACAGAAGUGCUGUAGCUCUCCCAAAAAAGAAAAUCAAGCAAUAAAAUAUCAAUUCAAUAAAACAAUUGAACAGCUACAUGUUAUCUUACAAGGGUGUAAACGUAGCUAUGGCGUAGACGGUGAUUUAACCAUUCUCCGUGUGCAGUCUUUUGGCAGAUGGAUACUAUGAAAUUUUGGCUCCCUUGGAAUGGUGGUGGCAGGUUGCCUUCUUUCCUGUGACAUUGACCUAGAAGCAAUAGAAGCAGGGGAAGCACCAUUCUCAUUUGGCUUUCCCAUUUCUUUAGGUUUUGAGGUUUCCAUCAUUACACCGAGUUGACGUGAUGUCGCGGGAGAAACCCUUUUCUUCCUACCUGAUUCGAUCCUGCAAGAGCAGGCUCUCAUUUGGCUUUCCCAUUUCUUUAGGUUUUGAGGUUUCCAUUAUUACACCGAGUUGACGUGAUGCCGCGGGAGAACCCCUUU